AUGUUCAGCGACGGCGCGUCCGGGCUGCUCCUCCUGGUCCUGGCGGCCUUCGCCGCGGCGGCCGCCGCCGCGUCCGAGGGCGACGUGCUGCUGACCUUCCGGGCGACCCUGCGCGGGCCCGUGGGCGACCGCCCUCCGGCGCCGCUCGACCAGUGGGUGCUCGGGCUCCGCCUCGAGUACCUUGGCCUGCAGGGCGCCGCCCCUGACAUGGCCCCGCUCGCGGCCCUCUUGGGCCUCCGCGUGCUCAGCUUCGCCAACAACAACCUCACGGGCGCGUUCCCGGCUGGGCUCUCCGUGCUCCCUGCCCUCAAGACGCUCUACCUCUCCCGGAACCGCCUCACCGGCGACAUCCCCGACGGCGCCUUCGCGGACAUGCGGGGGCUCAAGAAGCUCUUGCUCGGAGACAACGCCUUCACGGGGCCCAUCCCAGGCUCCAUCACCUCGCCCAAGCUGCUCGGGGUACAGCUCGCCAGGAACCGCUUCCAGGGGGCAAUCCGGAACUUCGACCAGAAGGACCUCCAGCUCUUCAACGUCUCCAACAACCAACUCUCCGGCCCCAUCCCCGAAGUGCUCAGCCGGUUCGACGCCGCCUCGUUCCAAGGUGAGUUCGAUCGUUCGUUGCACGGCGACGUGCCUGCACUUCAAGUUAUUAUCAGUUCCGAGGAAUUAAAGGUUGAUGAAGUAGGGACUGUCUAA
rnacentral:rRNA from 1 species